rnacentral:rRNA from 1 species
UGGGGAAUAUUGGACAAUGGGCGAAAGCCUGAUCCAGCCAUGCCGCGUGUGUGAAGAAGGUCUUCGGAUUGUAAAGCACUUUAAGUUGGGAGGAAGGGCAGUAAGCUAAUACCUUGCUGUUUUGACGUUACCGACAGAAUAAGCACCGGCUAACUCUGUGCCAGCAGCCGCGGUAAUACAGAGGGUGCAAGCGUUAAUCGGAAUUACUGGGCGUAAAGCGCGCGUAGGUGGUUUGUUAAGUUGGAUGUGAAAGCCCCGGGCUCAACCUGGGAACUGCAUCCAAAACUGGCAAGUUAGAGUACGGUAGAGGGUGGUGGAAUUUCCUGUGUAGCGGUGAAAUGCGUAGAUAGAGGAAGGAACACCAGUGGCGAAGGCGACCACCUGGACUGAUACUGACACUGAGGUGCGAAAGCGUGGGGAGCAAACA